UUGUAUAGGAAAAUAAUUACCCUUGGGCUGAAAUUCCCACAAAAAUACCUAUGGAAAACUAAGGUACCUGCAAAAAUAAAAGUUUUUCUGUGGCUAGUUAACAAAAACAGCAUUCUGACCAGAGAUGUCUUACUCAAAAAAGGAUGGGAAGGAGGGAAAGGAUGUGUUUUCUGUGGGAAAGAUGAAUCAAUUGAUCAUCUGCUGUUUACUUGCUCUACAGCAUCUCUGUUAUGGAGUCUGGUCAGAUGUGUUUGUGGCUUGAAGACCACUCCACUGAAUGUUAAAGAUUAUUUUGGGGGAUGGCUAGGUAAAUUUAACAAAGAGGAUAAGAAAAUAGUAAUGGUAGGGGUUUCUGCCUUACUUUGGGCGAUCUGGAAAGUAGGAAUGCUAUCAUAUUUGAAAACAAAAGGAUAA
rnacentral:rRNA from 1 species